ACUGAUAUCCACAGAAGUUAAAUGACUUGCUUAAGAUUACAGAACUGAGGAGAGGAAAAGAAGGUUAUUGUGAGAAGUACCUGAUAUAUGAAGACAGAAGGAAUUCCUAAAAUUCAACCUAACAGAAAGCUUGUGGGGUAUCACGAUAUAAGCAAUCAAUUGGAAAUUCAGAGACCCAGAUUCCAAACCCAACUCUACCUCUUAUUCGUGAUACAAUCUCAGUUCCUAUAGGAAGAAUGGGCUCAGACUUAAAACAGUUUCAACAAAGCAUUUUCUUCAUCAAGUUCACCUCUGAAUUCAGCACAGCUGAUGGAUAGAGCAUUCUACUUUCAGGUGGGUCAAUCCACUUCCGAGUUGUGCUGGUCUUACAUCCACUGACUGCAAAUCCCAGCUUCCAGGCCUGUGGUGGUUUACUAUUCUGACUCUUUGAAGUUCAUAAGUUCCUAGCAAUCUGCAGUGUUUCACUUAAAAUCAGGAAAGAAUAGAUACAAGAGACAGAAGUUACAGCAGAGCAAUGCCCUCCUGGGCCACGUGCCUUCCUUCCUACCAAGAACUUACAAUACUCCUUGCCUACAUGCUCAAGUACAGCCAGGCAGGAAAAGUAAAAAGACUUUAUUGCCUUUUGAAUGUGCCCCAAUUCUGGUUCAGCCACCAGUCAAAACUCUCUUUACUCUACAGUUAGUGGAUUGGACUCAGUGAUAGAAUGUCCACGCCUGCUCCAAAGUUCAUGUGGGAAUUGAAUCAGCAAAGGAUACUGCAUAUGCUCAUGAGGACUGUGCUCCUUGGCAGUUCCCUGUUAUAUAAGUAAAUUACAAGGCAAUUUGAGGAAGAAGAAAUGACUAACAACUAGGGGGAAUCAGGAAAAUCUUCCCCUUGAAGGUGGUAUGUAAUCUGAGCCUUGAAGACAUUUUUAAAGACUCUAAGAAGUAAAGAUUAGAAAGUAGUGUGCUGUAGACACAGAUGCCAGUCUGUGCGAAGGCAGAAGUGCAAGACAUGCAAAACCAGAACUCAAAGAGCAAUACACUUGUUAAGUAGAACCUGAACUCCUUAACUGCAAGAAUGAUUUUGUUUUCCUC